UACGAAGGGGGCUAGGCGUUGCUCGGAAUUACUGGGCGUAAAGCGCACGUAGGCGGAUUGUUAAGUCGGGGGUGAAAUCCUGGAGCUCAACUCCAGAACUGCCUUCGAUACUGGCGAUCUCGAGUCCGGGAGAGGUGAGUGGAACUGCGAGUGUAGAGGUGAAAUUCGUAGAUAUUCGCAAGAACACCAGUGGCGAAGGCGGCUCACUGGCCCGGUACUGACGCUGAGGUGCGAAAGCGUGGGGAGCAAACAGG
rnacentral:rRNA from 1 species